rnacentral:rRNA from 1 species
UACGAAGGGGGCUAGCGUUGUUCGGAUUUACUGGGCGUAAAGCGCACGUAGGCGGAUCGUUAAGUCGGGGGUGAAAUCCUGGAGCUCAACUCCAGAACUGCCUUCGAUGCUGGCGAUCUUGAGUCCGGAAGAGGUGAGUGGAACUCCUAGUGUAGAGGUGGAAUUCGUAGAUAUUAGGAAGAACACCAGUGGCGAAUGCGGCUCACUGGUCCGGUACUGACGCUGAGGUGCGAAAGCGUGGGGAGCAAACAGG